rnacentral:lncRNA from 1 species
GAUUGGGUUAUACUUCCUCCAUUCCUAAAUAUAAGACCUUUUAAACAUUUCACUAUAGACUACAUACGGAAUAAAAUGAGUGAAUUUAUACUCUAAAAUAUGUCUAUACACAUCCGUAUCUAAUUCGUAAUGAAAUCUCUAAAAGGUCUUAUAUUUAAAAACGGAUGGGAAAUCUCUAAAAGGUCUUAUAUUUAGGAACGGAUGGUGUAGGAAAAAAAAUCAUGUUUGUUUGAAUUACAGUGACAGUUUGUGUCACACAGUGCAGUCACAUAGCUUCGGUUUGAUGCUUCUGGGUGCACCUUCUACAGUCAACAUGCCAAUACUUUGGUUAUUUCUUAACAAAUUAUUGGCUUAUAGAUUGGAUGCUUCAAUGGUACAGAAAUCACUCCAUUGCUAACGAACAUGCCAACCUCAUAUUUUUCUGGAAUUUCAACAUCACUCUUGUUCGUUUUUCUUGGCUGAUGAUGUUCGUCUCCUCUUGAACAACGCACAAGUGGAGACCGCUGAUGGAGGAAACAAGAAAUCAUGUCUAAAGCCAAUAGGCAGAAUUAGCAACAAGGUACAGCUACACUUGACUGUGGUGGCUGUUUAUAACCAUAAUAAUGCAAGGAGUGGUAUGGGUGGCAUUAUCUCUUAUCCUGGGCUGGUCAAAAUUGUGAAUUACAACUACCUCUAUGCUAAGCUAGCCCACACAAAGCAAAGAAUUC